rnacentral:rRNA from 1 species
CAGUCGCCACGGGAAUACGUAGGGUGCGAGCGUUGUCCGGAAUUACUGGGCGUAAAGAGCUCGUAGGUGGUUUGUCGCGUCGUCUGUGAAAUUCCGGGGCUUAACUCCGGGCGUGCAGGCGAUACGGGCAUAACUUGAGUGCUGUAGGGGAGACUGGAAUUCCUGGUGUAGCGGUGAAAUGCGCAGAUAUCAGGAGGAACACCGAUGGCGAAGGCAGGUCUCUGGGCAGUUACUGACGCUGAGGAGCGAAAGCAUGGGUAGCGAACAGGAUUAGAUACCCCAGUAGUCCCUGUCUCUUAUU